GGAAAAGUUAUAGUUCAGUGGUAGAACAUCUGUUAUGCAUGCUUAAGAUCCCAGGUUCAAUCCCUGACAUCUCCA